UGGGGAAUAUUGCGCAAUGAACGAAAGUUUGACGCAGCGACGCCGCGUGAGGGACGAAGGUCUUCGGAUCGUAAACCUCUGUCAGAAGGGAAGAAGUGUAGGGGGAGUAACUGUCCUCUACUUGACGGUACCUUCAGAGGAAGCACCGGCUAACUCCGUGCCAGCAGCCGCGGCAAUACGGAGGGUGCGAGCGUUAAUCGGAAUUACUGGGCGUAAAGCGCGCGUAGGCGGCUUUGUAAGUCAGGGGUGAAAUCCCACGGCUCAACCGUGGCAUUGCCUUUGAUACUGCAGAGCUUGAGUUCGGGAGAGGGUGGUGGAAUUCCAGGUGUAGGAGUGAAAUCCGUAGAGAUCUGGAGGAACAUCAGUGGCGAAGGCGACCACCUGGCCCGAUACUGACGCUGAGGUGCGAAAGCGUGGGUAGCAAACA
rnacentral:rRNA from 1 species